rnacentral:rRNA from 1 species
AUACUGGCAAGCUAGAGUAUGGGAGAGGAAGGUAGAAUCCAGGUGUAGCGGUGAAAUGCGUAGAGAUCUGGAGGAAUACCGAUGGCGAAUGCAGCCUUCUGGCCUAAUACUGACGCUGAGGUGCGAAAGCAUGGGGAGCAAACAGGAUUAGAUACCCUGGUAGUCCAUGCCGUAAACGAUGUCAACUAGCCGUUGGGGGAUUUGAUCCUUUAGUGGCGCAGCUAACGCGAUAAGUUGACCGCCUGGGGAGUACGGUCGCAAGACUAAAACUCAAAUGAAUUGACGGGGGCCCGCACAAGCGGUGGAGCAUGUGGUUUAAUUCGAUGCAACGCGAAGAACCUUACCUGGUCUUGACAUAGUGAGAAUCCUGCAGAGAUGCGGGAGUGCCUUCGGGAAUUCACAUACAGGUGCCGCAUGGCUGUCGUCAGCUCGUGUCGUGAGAUGUUGGGUUAAGUCCCGCAACGAGCGCAACCCUUUUCCUUAUUUGCCAGCACUUCGGGUGGGAACUCUAAGGAUACUGCCAGUGACAAACUGGAGGAAGGCGGGGACGACGUCAAGUCAUCAUGGCCCUUACGACCAGGGCUACACACGUGCUACAAUGGUCGGUACAAAGGGUUGCUACACAGCGAUGUGAUGCUAAUCUCAAAAA